UGGGGGUGUUUGGGAUAGCUGGGUGGAGCA
rnacentral:piRNA from 1 species